rnacentral:tRNA from 5 species
GGAUGGUUCGCAUAGUGGUCUAGUGCGCAGUCCUGGAAAGACUGUAUGUUUGAAAGAGCAUCGAGGGUUCGAAUCCCUCACCAUCCG